rnacentral:rRNA from 1 species
UUGGCCUCGAAUCAGGUAGGGAUACCCGCUGAACUUAAGCAUAUCAAUAAGCGGAGGAAAAGAAACCAACAGGGAUUGCCUUAGUAACUGCGAGUGAAGCGGCAAGAGCUCAAAUUUGAAAUCUGGCGCCUUUGGCGUCCGAGUUGUAAUUUGGAGAGGCAUCUUCGGGUGCGGCGCCGGCCUAAGUUCCUUGGAACAGGACGUCAUAGAGGGUGAGAAUCCCGUUCUCGGCUGGCUGUCCGCGUCCAUGUGAAGUGUCUUCGACGAGUCGAGUUGUUUGGGAAUGCAGCUCAAAAUGGGUGGUAAACUCCAUCUAAAGCUAAAUACUGGCGAGAGACCGAUAGCGCACAAGUAGAGUGAUCGAAAGAUGAAAAGCACUUUGAAAAGAGAGUUAAAAAGUACGUGAAAUUGUUGAAAGGGAAGCGCUUGAGACCAGACUCGGCGGGAGGUAUUCAUCGUCCCUUCUGGGGCGUGCACUUGCCUCUCGUCGGGCCAGCAUCGGUUGCGGCGGCGGGAUAAAGACCCGGGGAACGUGGCUGCUCUCGGGCAGUGUUAUAGCCCCGGGUGUCAUGCCGCCUGCUGCGACCGAGGACCGCGCUUCGGCUAGGAUGCUGGCACAAUGGUCUUCAGCGACCCGUCUUGAA